CCCUUAGAUGUUCUGGGCCGCACACGCGCUACACUGAAGGAGGCAGCGUGUACUCCUGGAUCGAAAGAUUUGGGUAACCCGCGAAUCUCCUUCGUGCUAGGGAUUGAGGUUUGCAAUUAUCCUUCAUGAACGAGGAAUUCCCAGUAAGUGCAAGUCAUAAGCUUGCGCUGACUACGUCCCUGCCCUUUGUACACACCGCCCGUCGCUACUACCGAUUGAAUGAUUUAGUGAGGACUUCGGACUGGGACCGAUGCGGCUUUCGGGCUGCGUCGGUAUUCUGGAAAGAUGUCCAAACUGUAUCAUUUAGAGGAAGUUGAAGUCGUANCA
rnacentral:rRNA from 1 species